AUUGAACGCUGGCGGCAUGCCUUACACAUGCAAGUCGAACGGCAGCGGGCCUUCGGGUGCCGGCGAGUGGCGAACGGGUGAGUAAUGCAUCGGAACGUGCCAUUGAGUGGGGGAUAACGUAGCGAAAGUUGCGCUAAUACCGCAUAUUCUGUGAGCAGGAAAGCAGGGGACCGCAAGGCCUUGCGCUCUUUGAGCGGCCGAUGUCAGAUUAGCUAGUUGGUGAGGUAAAGGCUUACCAAGGCGACGAUCUGUAGCGGGUCUGAGAGGAUGAUCCGCCACACUGGAACUGAGACACGGUCCAGACUCCUACGGGAGGCAGCAGUGGGGAAUUUUGGACAAUGGGGGCAACCCUGAUCCAGCAAUGCCGCGUGUGUGAAGAAGGCCUGCGGGUUGUAAAGCACUUUCAGUGGGGAAGAACGGAUACGGGCCAAUACCCCGCAUCACUGACGUUACCCACAGAAGAAGCACCGGCUAACUCCGUGCCAGCAGCCGCGG
rnacentral:rRNA from 1 species